rnacentral:rRNA from 1 species
UACAGAGGUCUCAAGCGUUGUUCGGAUUCAUUGGGCGUAAAGGGUGUGUAGGUGGCGCCGUAAGUCGGGUGUGAAAUUUCGGAGCUUAACUCCGAAACUGCAUUCGAUACUGCGGUGCUUGAGGACUGGAGAGGAGACUGGAAUUCAUGGUGUAGCAGUGAAAUGCGUAGAGAUCAUGAGGAAGACCGAUGGCGAAGGCAGGUCUCUGGGCCACUACUGACGCUGAGAAGCGAAAGCAUGGGGAGCGAACAGG